AGCAUCGGUAGAAAAGUGUACUAAUCCCCCGUACGAGACGAAAACCAUAAAUUUCCUCAUCCCGGACUGGGCGGACUUUAUAUUACUGCAUCGCACUAAUCCAAUACCGCAUUUGACAGGAAUAAUACGGCAGUGAUUUUAUCUGAGUGUAGUCAUCCUGCCCACUCCACAUAGAUAGCCAGACAUUGGAAAAUGUAUAAGUGGCUAAAUUGGGGAAUAAAUAUGUGACGUCGUCCUAGGCUCUAUACUGAGAUUUGGACUCAUCCCAUAGAGACUGGGUGCUCUAUGUGGACACUCUAUCACUUCUCUGCACAGAGCCCAGAACACAGCUGUUCGAGUAGUGGAGCAGAGUAGUGGAAUUUUUUCACGGCUUAGGCCUGUCCCAUACAGGCAGCCGUAGAGAGCACCUGCCCCGUACUAACACAGAGCCAAGCAGGCAUUAAAGAGGAAAGCUCCAAAAAAACUCCCUCUAUCUCACCAUGCCUCGCAAUAUUAUUCUUAUUCCUUGAUUUUUUUCAGGAAAUUUCCUAUUUCUCAGCCAAAAAAUGGAAUUUGGUGAAUUUUUUU